AUUGAUUGUAAACCCCUUUUGAUUGGGAAGAAUACUGACGGUACCAAUCGAAUAAGCCUCGGCUAACUCCGUGCCAGCAGCCGCGGUAAUANCGGAGGAGGCAAGCGUUAUCCGGAAUUAUUGGGCGUAAAGCGUCCGUAGGUGGUUUAGUAAGUCUGCUGUUAAAGCGCGGGGCUUAACUCCGUAUCGGCAGUGGAAACUACUAGACUAGAGUGUGGUAGGGGUAGAGGGAAUUCCCAGUGUAGCGGUGAAAUGCGUAGAUAUUGGGAAGAACACCGGUGGCGAAAGCGCUCUACUGGGCCAUAACUGACACUGAUGGACGAAAGCUAGGGGAGCGAAAGGGAUUAGAUACNCCCUGUAGUC
rnacentral:rRNA from 1 species